rnacentral:lncRNA from 1 species
UGAAUAAAUAGGUGAGGGAAUUAAUGAAUGGGUGAGUGAAUGAAUGAACAGGUAAGGGAAUUAAUGAAUGGGUGAGUGAGUGAAUGAAUGGGUGAGGGAAUUAAUGAAUGGGUGAGUGAGUGAAUGAACGGGUGAGUGAAUUAAUGAAUGGGUGAGUGAAUGAAUGAACAGGUGAGUGAAUGAAUUGAUGAUCGGGUGAGUGAAUUAGUGAGUGAAUGGGUGAGUCCAUGGGGGAGAGAGGGAGGGA